rnacentral:rRNA from 1 species
UACAGAGGGUGCGAGCGUUGUCCGGAAUCACUGGGCGUAAAGGGCGCGUAGGCGGCCUGAUAAGUAGGGGGUGAAAUCCUGUGGCUUAACUGCAGGGCUGCCUCCUAGACUGUUAGGCUCGAGCACGGUAGAGGCAGAUGGAAUUCCGCGUGUAGCAGUGAAAUGCGUAGAUAUGCGGAGGAACACCGAUGGCGAAGGCAAUCCCCUGGGCCUGCACUGACGCUCAUGCACGAAAGCGUGGGGAGCAAACAGG